AUACUUAAAUGGAUAACUGUGGUAAAUCUAGAGCUAAUACAUGCAAACUUGGCAAGUUUCUUUUAUAAGAGACUAGUCGCAUUUUAUUAGACUGAGACCAUAGGGCACUUUUAACCGGGUGUCUUUACAUCAGAGGUGACUCUAAAUAACAUACAGCUAUCAUUUAAGUCCUCUUUAUUGAGCGACGAUGAAGUGUAAUUCAGGCAUCUGCCUUAUCAACUUUUGUUGGUAGGCGAUGGGACUACCAAGGUAGUCACGAGUAACGGGGAAUAUGGGUUUUAUUCCGGAGAAGGAGCCUGAGAAACGGCUACUACAUCUAAGGGUGGCAGCAGGCGCGCAAUUUGCCCAAUUUAAGAUGUAGGAGGCAGUGACGAGACAUAAACAUUGAAGAGCAUAGUUUUUUAAUUGUGUUUCUUCAAAUAAAUUGUGAUUGAGCACAAUUUAAAUGCUUUGGCGAUUAUCUAUUGGAGGGCAAGUCUGGUGCCAGCAGCCGCGGUAAUNNNNNCAACCAGCAAUCAGCUUGAGAAUUCAAGAAUUUAAUAACUCCGUAACUUGAAUUAAGCUGGUUCUCACGGAGAAAUCAGAGUGAUUAGGCUCCGGGGGAAGUAUGGUUGCAAGGCUGAAACUUAAAGGAAUUGACGGAGGGGCACCACAAGGAGUGGAGCUUGCGGCUUAAUUUGACUCAACACGGGAAAACUUACCUGGAUAAUACACUAUUACGAUUGACAGGCUAGAGACCUUUCUUGAUUUAGUGAAUAGUGGUGCAUGGCCGUUAUUAGUUCGUGGGGUGAUUUGUCAGGUUGAUUCCGACAAACGAACAAGACUCUAGCCUGUUAAUUAAAACAAUUUUGCUUUAUGCUUUAAAAGAAAAAGUAUUUACCUAUUUAAAUUCUUUAUAUAUUCUUUAUUACUUAUUAUUUAAAUUAAUUCGUUAGUUUAGUAAUAGAGUAUAAAGAUGUAUAUGAUUUAAAUGUGGAGCUUUGAUUUUUUGUAUAAAGCAAUAUUUUGUAAUCCUUAAAGGGAUUAAUGACGUUUUCUAUUUUAAUCAUGUAGUCAUAGAGAGAUGGAGAACAAUAACAGGUCUGUAUGCCCUUUGAUAUCUUGGGCCGCACGCGAGCUACAUUGAAGGGUACAAUGAGUUUAUUUGUUAUCCUGCUCUGAAAGGAGUUUCGGUAACCUUUGAAUUCCCUUCACCUCUGGGAUUGAGCUUUGUAAUCUUAGUUCAUGAACGAGGAAUUCCUUGUAAAUGCGAGUCAUUAGCUUGCGUUGAAUGCGUCCCUGCCCCUUGUACACACCGCCCGUCGCUACUACCGAUGAAGUGCUUAGCAAGAGCAAUGGACGGCUAGAUGCAUGCCUGCGUUUCGGCGUGUGGAAGCAUCAAGGCUGAAAGUUGUUCAAGCUUGUCACUUUAGAGGAAGUAAAAGUCGUAA
rnacentral:rRNA from 1 species